CACCCAGUGAAAAGAGAAGGGUCCACUUGGAAGGUGCAAGGUGCAGCGAUUCGAUUUCUUAAGUGUCCGUGUGACCUUUCUCUCUCCUGCUGAUGACAACGGAAUCACAGAAUCUCAGAGCUGGAAAGGAUUUCCAAGGACACUGUUCCAACCUAACUCCGGCAUCUCUGAACAAGGGCUUCGCUUUGAAUACCACCAAUGACAGGAAAGCCACCACCUCCCAGUACAGCCAUUCUACUUUGGGACAACUCCAAGGGUAAGGAAAUCCUUCUGCACACAGAGACAGAACCUGCCUCUGCAGCUGUUCCUGGGUUUGUUCACUAGGGCUGUUUAAUCUUUCCUCCUGGAGGUCCUUCUAAUACAAGAAGAUACCUAGCUCGUCCCAUCUGAGUCUUCUCCAGGCUAACCAUCACCAUGUACUUCAGUGGAUCCUCUGUGACGCAAACUCGAGGCCUUUCAACCCCCUGGCCACCAUCCUUUGGAUCCUCUGCAGCUUAUCAAUAAUCUUCCUGAGCUGUGGGGCUCAGAACUCCACACAAGACUCCAAAUUCUCCACCUUCCAUGCCAGUCCUCUCUACAACAUCUCAAAUAAUUGGUCAUCCCUCAUCUACCUGAAGGCCUAAAGUGAUGAGCAAUUCCCUAGCUCACAAGCCAACACAUCCCAUUUCCAGACAACUCUAAUGAUCAGAAACGUUUUCCUUAUUGGCCGAGAUAAAAAUCUACCCACCCAUUGCUCCUAAUUUUGCUUGAUGAGGAUAAGCUGAACAAAUGGAAUGUCUCAUAGACAUUCAAAGAUUUGAAUCCGUCAAUCCAUCAUUCAUAAAGCAUUAAACACAUGCCGAGUGUUCUGCUAGGCGACAAGAAGACAAGGAAUGGAAGGAAACAGUCCAAGCCCUGAAGGAGAUGAUAAUCUUUGGGGAGAAACCACAGGUGCACAUAGAAGGACGUACAAAAUGGAUACAUAAAUGUAAGGCACUCACAACUUCAUGAAACUCAUGUGAACACUAGAUUUAUUACAAGAGAAUGAGCAUGCAUGUGGAACCCUAAGCAAACAUAGAGAAUUCACAAUCCAUUCAGAAGUUUGUGUGACAGUACAACA